rnacentral:rRNA from 1 species
UACGUAGGGCGCAAGCGUUAUCCAGAAUUAUUGGGCGUAAAGAGCUCGUAGGCGGUUUGUCGCGUCUGCCGUGAAAGUCCGGGGCUCAACUCCGGAUCUGCGGUGGGUACGGGCAGACUAGAGUGAUGUAGGGGAGACUGCAAUUCCUGGUGUAGCGGUGAAAUGCGCAGAUAUCAGGAGGAACACCGAUGGCGAAGGCAGGUCUCUGGGCAUUAACUGACGCUGAGGAGCGAAAGCAUGGGGAGCGAACAGG